rnacentral:rRNA from 1 species
UACAGAGGUCUCAAGCGUUGUUCGGAUUCAUUGGGCGUAAAGGGUGCGUAGGCGGCGCGGUAAGUCGGGUGUGAAAUCUCGGAGCUUAACUCCGAAACUGCAUUCGAUACUGCCAUGCUUGAGGACUGGAGAGGAGACUGGAAUUUACGGUGUAGCGGUGAAAUGCGUAGAUAUCGUAAGGAAGACCAGUGGCGAAGGCGGGUCUCUGGACAGUUCCUGACGCUGAGGCACGAAGGUCAGGGGAGCAAACAGG